GACGAACGCUGGCGGCGUGCUUAACACAUGCAAGUCGAGCGGUAAGGCCCUUUCGGGGGUACGACGAGCGGCGAACGGGUGAGUAACACGUGGGUGACCUGCCCUCAGCUCUGGGAUAAGCCUGGGAAACCGGGUCUAAUACUGGAUAUGACUCCAUGACGCAUGUUGUGGGGUGGAAAGCCUUGUGCGGCUGAGGAUGGGCCCGCGGCCUAUCAGCUUGUUGGUGGGGUGAUGGCCUACCAAGGCGACGACGGGUAGCCGGCCUGAGAGGGCGACCGGCCACACUGGGACUGAGACACGGCCCAGACUCCUACGGGAGGCAGCAGUGGGGAAUCUUGCGCAAUGGGCGAAAGCCUGACGCAGCGACGCCGCGUGAGGGAUGGCGGCCU
rnacentral:rRNA from 1 species